AAAACUCCCAGACCCGCAGCGAGCGCAACGAUCGCCAGCAGGAAAAGCUUCCGAAACAUGAGUGCCCCCAGAGAAAACGGCAGGAACUAAACGGCCUCGGCCAGUGUUCAAUCGGUAUUGGAAAGCCAAAAACUAAGGGAGAAAACGAUGAACAGCAAAGCAAUUGCGCUUGGAGUCCUUGCCAUCGGCGCUUGCGUCGCACUCAGCGGGCCGGCUUUCGCCGAGAAAAUCAGCAUGAAGGCCAAUCUGACCAGUGCCGCCGAGGUGCCUGCNCCUCCCAACACCAGCCCAGGCAAAGGCACGGCCGACGUGACGUACGAUACCGCAAGCAAGA
rnacentral:misc_RNA from 1 species